rnacentral:rRNA from 1 species
UCGGGUAAGUUCCGACCCGCACGAAAGGCGUAACGAUUUGGGCACUGUCUCAACGAGAGACUCGGUGAAAUCAUAGUACCUGUGAAGAUGCAGGUUACCCGCGACAGGACGGAAAGACCCCGUGGAGCUUUACUGUAGCCUGAUAUUGAAAUUCGGCACAGCUUGUACAGGAUAGGUAGGAGCCUUUGAAACGUGAGCGCUAGCUUACGUGGAGGCGCUGGUGGGAUACUACCCUAGCUGUGUUGGCUUUCUAACCCGCACCACUUAUCGUGGUGGGAGACAGUGUCAGGCGGGCAGUUUGACUGGGGCGGUCGCCUCCUAAAAGGUAACGGAGGCGCUCAAAGGUUCCCUCAGAAUGGUUGGAAAUCAUUCAUAGAGUGUAAAGGCAUAAGGGAGCUUGACUGCGAGACCUACAAGUCGAGCAGGGUCGAAAGACGGACUUAGUGAUCCGGUGGUUCCGCAUGGAAGGGCCAUCGCUCAACGGAUAAAAGCUACCCCGGGGAUAACAGGCUUAUCUCCCCCAAGAGUUCACAUCGACGGGGAGGUUUGGCACCUCGAUGUCGGCUCAUCGCAUCCUGGGGCUGUAGUCGGUCCCAAGGGUUGGGCUGUUCGCCCAUUAAAGCGGUACGCGAGCUGGGUUCAGAACGUCGUGAGACAGUUCGGUCCCUAUCCGUCGUGGGCGUAGGAAAUUUGAGAGGAGCUGUCCUUAGUACGAGAGGACCGGGAUGGACAUACCUCUGGUGUACCAGUUGUCGUGCCAACGGCAUAGCUGGGUAGCUAUGUGUGGACGGGAUAAGUGCUGAAAGCAUCUAAGCAUGAAGCCCCCCUCAAGAUGAGAUUUCCCAACUUCGGUUAUAAGAUCCCUCAAAGAUGAUGAGGUUAAUAGGUUCGAGGUGGAAGCAUGGUGACAUGUGGAGCUGACGAAUACUAAUCGAUCGAAGACUUAAUCAA